rnacentral:rRNA from 1 species
ACUACAUGAAGCUGGAAUCGCUAGUAAUCGCGGAUCAGAAUGCCGCGGUGAAUACGUUCCCGGGUCUUGUACACACCGCCCGUCACACCAUGGGAGUCGGAAAUGCCCGAAGUCUGUGACCCAACCUGAGAGGGAGGGAGCAGCCGAAGGCAGGUCUGAUGACUGGGGUGAAGUCGUAACAAGGUACC